UUAAUUUUUGUUUGUUUUGUCAGACGAUUACAGGUAUUACAAAGGGUUUAUUGUGGUCCCCAUUGGCGGGCGAGCCCGCCGAGGAAACGAAAGGUACUCAAAAAGGCAAGGGUUCUAUCUCGAGAGGGCCGAAGCCCCACGAUAAUGAUCCUUCCGCAGGUUCACCUACGGAAA
rnacentral:misc_RNA from 1 species